AAAAACUUWGGAUAUUAAAACCAAGGGCCUUCAAAGCCCUAAAAAAGGGUGCAAUCCCC
rnacentral:tRNA from 1 species